UACGUAGGUGGCGAGCGUUGUCCGGAAUUACUGGGCGUAAAGGAUGCGUAGGCGGAAACUUAAGUCAGAUGUGAAAUACCCGGGCUUAACUUGGGUGCUGCAUUUGAAACUGAGUUUCUAGAGUGCGGGAGAGGAAAGUGGAAUUCCUAGUGUAGCGGUGAAAUGCGUAGAGAUUAGGAAGAACACCAGUGGCGAAGGCGACUUUCUGGACCGUAACUGACGCUGAGGCAUGAAAGCGUGGGUAG
rnacentral:rRNA from 1 species